AUUUUCCACAUUUUAUUUUCAAAGUCUUCAUGUGACAAUUCUGAUGAGAGAUUACGAUUACUUGUCUGAAAACAUUGUUAAAUCAAUGCAGUUACUGGUCUCGUCCCACCUCCAGCUGCAGGACAGGCCCGGACAACGCCAGCGGCUCGGUUUCACGCUCCAUUUGACGCUCGCCCUCUCGGACCAUUUGAGGUCUCCCUUUGUGACACGCGUCACAAAGCGGUCUCCACGGUGAUGAGGUGAAGGCUUUCGCUCGAUGCCUAACUGAAAGUCUGUCAUCUCCUGCUUCCAGACGGACGGGACGACGACGACUCGCCGCGGCGGACGACCCGCUGACGAGAUGACGGACGGCCGCCUCGGCGCGAUCUCCGGCCGCUUUCGUUCACGGCGGAUCAGCGGCGUUUCACGGGAGCAAUAAAGUCUCAUCUGCUGUCUCCUCUACAGUCAAUCUUAUCGGCCAUUCCUGCAAAGAAUCUGCGGUAGAGGAACGGCACAGCAAGGAAAGCAAAUGGGACGGAGACGAAACAAAGUGACCGCACGACAGUAAGGAGUGUCGUGUCAAAUCAUAAAGUUCUUUGAACGCAUAACAACUAGCCAUCCCUUUCCCCGCAUUGCGGCGGCGGCCGGUAGCAGCCGACAACAGGGCCGGCCUGAUUAGCGAGACACAGAGGAGCGCUGGCUCUGCAUUCCCAGCUGCCUCGGCCCUGAACACGCUGUCAGCAGCACAUCAGCGGACGCCACCCCCCCUAAGAUCACCCUCCAGAGAGGCGGCACACAUCCCCCGUCCUGCCGACCUGGGUAGUCGCUGCAGCGGCGCGUCAGCGGGAGCAGCCUGUUUUCCCCCUCUGCUGAAGUGCUCUUGAGCAGGAGGCUGUGGCAGUCGGGGGAGGGAGGCGGGGAGGGAACCUUUACAACAGCACAGCUCCCUCUCACCCCGGAUGAUCAUGUAGCUCGACUCUUCCUGCGCUCUUCACUGAGACCUGUGACGAUCCGAGUCCUUCGUGGGUCCGUCCCGGAGACGCGGGAUCCUGGACGAUGCUGAUUUCAGGGGAUUCAAACCCUCAGUGUCCGAGAGCCGCCGCCGCCACCUCGUGUGGUCCAAAACAAUUAGCCGGCGGCGGCGGCGGAACGUAGCUGAAGGUUUUGACGCAUUUUUGGCACCAGCUCAAAAGGUUUGCUUUGCCAAAACCAGGAUGUAAAGCUGUCGCCAUGUGCGAUGCUGGGAUCUCAGGUAUUCCCAGACAACAAUCAUAAUGUCAGUAAUGUAAUCUGAUGACAGUCGUUGCCUCUGUGGCCUGGACGAAGCAGCCGCCAGUCACACCCACGUUCAUUUUGACGUUAGUCUGAACUCAAACGCGAUGCCGAAGUCCGUGUCGUUCUUUUAAAACCCUUUAUCCUUUAGGCAGAUCCGUGCCUCUCACGUGUGUGUGUGUGUGUGUGUGUGUGUGUGUGUGUGUGUGUGCGGUGAAGGUCCUUUCAUGUCCAAUCCAUCGGCCGUCCGUCUCCUCCAACCGCCACUCAUCCAUCCCGCAAAUCUGACAACUUUAUCGUCCAUUACACCGACAACACAUGGGACUCGGCUCCCUCCCUACAACAAAAAUAGAUUUAAAAGCAGGGGACUGACAGAUUUACAGUACAUGACAUAAAUAACAUUAGGUCCUUACAACCCACCAGACACCAUAUGAGCGAACAGGUGUCGCCUCCAUUGUUCAGAUUGUGCGUUCAACUCCACAGUCCACUGCUCCGCUUGCGUAUCCAUGUUCAGGGGUUCAGUGGGCUUAACUGAUGGAAAUUAAUUUAGAUUAAAAUACAUUUCUCUAAGUGCCAAUUAAGACAAACGUAAUGGUUAAAAAUAAGUCUUCAGUAUUGAACCAAUACCCUUUGGGUUUCUUGUCCGUCAAUAAAAACUAAUAAAAAACUCACUUAUUUUCAUGUUCCUGUUAACAACCGGAUAUGGAAGGUUUAAGAAGUCCGUCGUAUCAGAACUGAUAUCGUCUUUGUGUUUUCGCCUCGGAUCAUCUCCAUUUCCCGCCCUUCUGAACUGCCAAGGGUUUAGUUUCGAUUCUGUUUGCAGGGUUAUUGUCGGAGUUUGAUACAAAUACUCUCAGAGACGUUGAGACGUUGAUGCCGAGACCGUGGGUUUUACCACAGCUGCUAUUUUAUGAGGUGUUGAUGGAAGAAAUUCAACAUUUGGGCAACAGGGUGGAGGCUGGGGAGUAGUAUUGAUCAUGAUAAUGACAAUACAAAUAAUAAUAGCACCUUCAAAAUCAAAAUUUGUUUAAAGUAAGAAACCGAGUCUAAGCUUAAAUAGGUGACAUACGUUAAAUAAAUGACAUUUAAAAGUUAAAAGAUAAAAUAAGACAAUAAGAUAAAAGCCUGAUGAGUUGUAGUCUUUGGAUGUUUUGUUGGACCAGAACAAUGUGAGUUGCAGUAGUUUAAGUCUGAAGGAUUUAAAAGCGUGGACGACUUGACUAGAUCUGAAAAUGAAUGGAAUGAUCUGAUCUGGGUUAAAUGUCCCAGAUGGAGGAAUCUGGGCUGGUCGGUCAAAUCAUCAAAAGACAUCUCCGAGUCAAAUAUUUGGCUGCUUUUUCUUUUCAUGAGGACAAAUUGAGAUAUUAAUUAGUUCUAGUGUUGAGAGCAGAUGGGGUAAUUAUAAGUAUUUCUUAUUUGGAGUAUUUUAGUGGUAGUUUGUACAUCACAAAUAAAAAGGGGACCUGGAGUAGAUCCCUGGGAACCCCCGGGAAAGUUGUGCACUUAAACUUUCUACACGCAACCGGUGAAGCUAUAGAUUUUAUAUCAGUCAACAGGUGGGCAAUGACUACGCAGGUAAUAACGCCCAUGAAUCUGUGCAUUUGAAGGUCACUUGCUUUAAUUGGCCCCAGAUUAUGUUGUCAGUGCGAAUGGACCACGCUGCAGUUCGCUUUCAAAGAGGAAUUAGACUCUGACGAUCUUCACAUGUUGUGAUUUGGUUUGUUUCGGUGCCUCUCGGUGCGAAUUCCAUUUAUUCUCACCUGUCCAUCUGCAUUAAAGGAGCUAACACCCAAAAAUUCCUAAGGCACAUUAACAAAUACGUUUGGUAUGAACACGCCAUCACGCCCACUCACACCUGGCAGCUGUUGGCAGCCUCCAAAGCUUCAGCACUUGGCUUUGAAUACUCCUUGCUGGUUUGCUUUAUUAGAGCUGUUUCUCUUUUCAACAUUUAGAUUAAAGGAAAAAUAUCCCAAACCAAUAAGCAUCAAAUGUUCACUGCCUGUAAGAGUGAAAGACGGCACCAAAAAGUUUGUGCCCGGCCUCGUUGUGGAAGACUGCAACUGCUGUUAGCUCGGGUCAAAGUCUGUAUAUACAGUAGAGAUGGACGACAUGACAGCAACCAAAAGUGAAGCCAAAACAUCUGGAUCGCCCCCUGGUGUUUGCCUGCAGUAUAAGUCAUAAACCCCCGAGUCCUCCAUGUUGGCAGAUGGGACAUGGAUCCAAAUAAAAAGUUAAAGUGCAAGCAAGUACAUCACAGUGAAGAUGCUUUUGUAAGUUUUGUUAAAACAAUAAUAAAUAUAUAUAUUUAAUACAAACGGGUUGAAAUGUCAUGAUUGGCAGCUGACACUGACUCGCUCGAGCGUGUUUAUUGGAGGAACCUCGAUACCGUGACUCCACUCCACGAUCCCUACUCGUCACCAGCAGAAGACGGCAGCGUCCGAGACA